GCUAGGAUGAACGCUAGCUACAGGCUUAACACAUGCAAGUCGAGGGGCAGCAUAACGAAAGCUUGCUUUGUGAUGGCGACCGGCGCACGGGUGAGUAACGCGUAUCCAACCUUCCCGCGAGUAGGGAACAGCCCGGCGAAAGUCGGAUUAAUGCCCUAUGUUCUCCGAUGACGGCAUCAGAGUUGGAGUAAAGAUUUAUCGCUUGCGGAUGGGGAUGCGUCUGAUUAGCUUGUUGGCGGGGUAACGGCCCACCAAGGCGACGAUCAGUAGGGGUUCUGAGAGGAAGGUCCCCCACAUUGGAACUGAGACACGGUCCAAACUCCUACGGGAGGCAGCAGUGAGGAAUAUUGGUCAAUGGGCGGAAGCCUGAACCAGCCCAAGUAGCGUGAGGGAUGACUGCCCUAUGGGUUGUAAACCUCUUUUGUUCGGGAAUAAAGUUCGGGACGUGUCCCGUUUUGUAUGUACCGUUCGAAUAAGGAUCGGCUAAUUCCGUGCCAGCCGCAGC
rnacentral:rRNA from 1 species